GAUGAACGCUGACAGAAUGCUUAACACAUGCAAGUCUUUGGCGAAGCUGUGCUUGCACAGCCUAGCCAAGGCGGACGGGUGAGUAACGCGUAAGGAACUUGCCCUGCAGUCAGGGAUAACAGACGGAAACGACUGAUAAGACCUGGUAAAGUCAGGCGGACUCAUGUCCAGCCUGAUGAAAAGAGAUGCUGCAGGAGAGCCUUGCGUCCUAUUAGCUUGUUGGUGGGGUAACGGCCCACCAAGGCGAUGAUAGGUAGCCGGCCUGAGAGGGUGGACGGCCACAAGGGGACUGAGAUACGGCCCUUACUCCUACGGGAGGCAGCAGUGGGGAAUAUUGGACAAUGGGGGCAACCCUGAUCCAGCAAUUCUGUGUGCACGAUGAAGGUUUUCGGAUUGUAAAGUGCUUUCAGCAGGGAAGAAAAAAAUGACGGUACCUGCAGAAGAAGCGACGGCUAAAUACGUGCCAGCAGCCGCGGUAAUACGUAUGUCGCAAGCGUUAUCCGGAAUUAUUGGGCAUAAAGGGCAUCUAGGCGGCCAGAUAAGUCUGGGGUGAAAACCUGCAGCUCAACCGCAAGCCUGCCCUGGAAACUAUGUGGCUAGAGUACUGGAGAGGUGGACGGAACUGCACGAGUAGAGGUGAAAUUCGUAGAUAUGUGCAGGAAUGCCGAUGAUGAAGAUAGUUCACUGGACGGUAACUGACGCUGAAGUGCGAAAGCUAGGGGAGCAAACAGG
rnacentral:rRNA from 1 species